GACGAACGCUGGCGGCGUGCUUAACACAUGCAAGUCGAACGGAAAGGCCCUGCUUUUGUGGGGUGCUCGAGGGGCGAACGGGUGAGUAACACGUGAGUAACCUGCUCUUGACUUUGGGAUAACUUCAGGUAACUGGGGCUACUAUCGGAUAGGAGCUCCUGCUGCAUGGUGGGGGGGGGAAAGUUUCGGCGGGUGGGGAUGGAUGCGCGGCUUACCAGCUUGUUGGUGGGGUAGGGGCUUACCAAGGCUUUGACGGGUAGCCGGCCUGAGAGGGUGACCGGCCACAAUGGGACUGAGAUACGGCGCAGACUGCUACGGGAGGCAGCAGGGGGAAAUAUUGCCCAAUGGGCGGAAGCCUGAUGCAGCAGCGCCGCGUGCGGGAUGACGGCCUUCGGGUUGUAAACCGCUUUCGCCUGUGACGCAGCGUGAGUGACGGUAAUGGAUAAAGAAGCACCGGCUAACUACGUG
rnacentral:rRNA from 1 species